CAUGUGGAAAACUAAGAUACUAUCUGCAUGUCUGUAUGUGUCUAAGUGUGCUUAUGUAUGUGCUUGUGUACAUGUCAGUAUGCGUUCAAUGUGUUCAUAUGUGUGUGUAUGUAAAAGCCUUAGAUACCAUUUGUGGACAUAACCUCUAACACCUUGCUUUGUCAUCAAAACACAAUAUACAAUAUACACUCAGUCAUGUAUUAUACAAUCACAUCCUUUUUAUCAUUUUUUACAAUAUACAAUCAUAGCAUUUGCAUAUAAUGGACAAAACAGUGAAUAGCAUACAUACUAUCUCAAUGUACUUCCAUUCAGCUUUUCUCUUGAUUUCACAUUGCAUAUCAAAUCAGAGAAAAAAAAAUCAUUUCUGUAUAUAGCUGUAUGCAUAACAUAGGGAGACAUGUGAUAGAAAUAAUAAUCAUUGCACAGCAUACAAGCAUAUACAAUUCCUAUUGUAUGAAAUACAUUGAAAACAGACACAGAAAAUAGGCAGGGUUUCAAAAAUAUUUCUAAAUAUUUGUCUAUGUGUGCACUAUUCAUAGUGUAUGAGUGUGUGUGUGUGUGUGUGUGUGUGCGUGUGUGCACGUGAGAAAGAGUUAUGAUAGCAAUGAACACAAAAUGAAAGAAGACAACACAGGAGAGAUAAGUUUGAACCAACAUUGUAUAAGCUUAAUCCUUAAAAGAAAAGCAAGGAGUCUUAACAUUUUGGCUACUAGUCCUUCAUCAGAAAAAAUAUUUAUGUGCUUGUAUGCAUACAAAUUCACAUAAUACAUACAUGUGUGUGUGUGUGUGUGUGUGUGUGUAUGUUUGUGUUUGUCCCCCCAACAUCGCUUGACAACCAAUGCUGGUGUGUUUAUGUCCCUGUAACUUAGCGGUUCAGCAAAAGAGACUGAUAGAAUAAGUACUAGGCUUCCAAAGAAUAAGUCCAGGGGUCAAUUUGCUCGACUAAAGGCAGUGCUCCAGCAUGACCACAGUCAAAUGACUGAAACAAGUAAAAGAGUAAGGCAUUUUGUCUAACACUCUAAAUAUUUGAGCAACCGACUGUGCUGGACUGGUACUUUACUGAUUUUGAAAAGAUGAUGAGCAAAGCUGACCUUGUGACUGUGGUUUCAAUUCCUGGAGUGAGCAGUGCCUUAUGUUCUUAAACAGAACACUUCAGAUCACAUUGCUUUAGUCCACUUAGUUGUGAAUGAGUUCCAGCAUAGCUGGGAAAUUAGCCCUUGCAUCCACAAGUUUAUCAGGCUAGAAGAAAAUGAUUUGAUCACGAAACACAUGUGUGCAUGUGUCAGUGUGUGUUUGCAUGCAUGUGUCUGUGUGUGCGUGCACAUGUACAUGCGCGUCUGUGUGUGUGUGUGUGUGUGUGUGUGUGUCUUUGUGUCUGUGUUUGUCCUCCACUGCCUUUUAACAACCGAUGUUGGUGUGUUUACACCCACCAUAACUUAGCAGGUCAGCAAAUCAGACUGAUUGAAUAAGUACCAGGCUUAAAAAAAUAAAGUACCAGGGCUAAUUCAUUUGGCUAAGAUUCUUCAAAGCAGUGCACCAGCAUGGCUGAAACAAAUAAAAGAUAAAUAAUAAUAAAAAAAACGCACCAAAAACAUGAAGGAAGCCAGCUUCAGAAGGGUGACCAAAAACAGACAUAUGCAACAGUAAAAACUACUAAAGACAACUAAGAUCUACGUAAUGAUAUUAAAUAGAACAACAGUUUAAGGAUGGGAAUUGUUCCCACUAAUGAGCUUUCAUACAGUCUCCAUCAAAAGAAGACAACCCCUGUUGUUGACAUUGAGUAGCAUGGUCCUUUCCUCUUCCAUAUUCUAGAGAGGUCACUCGCUCGAGCAGCCUCAAGCCAACAGGUUUUGAGAUCUGAUGAUACACCACAAAGCUAGAGCUUUAUGGACGUGAAACCCAAGGUAAUCCCAUAAACCAGCCUUAUCUAAACUUAUUUAUAUAUUAUAUAUUAAAACUAUUAAAACUAUAUUCCCUGGAGCGUAGGCGGGAAAGAUAUGCCAUAAUAUACAUCUGGAAGAUCCUGGAGGGAAGUGUCCUGAACUUUGGCAUCGAGAGUUACGCAAAUGCCAGAACUGGGCGCCACUGCGUGGUGCCUAGGACUCCAAACUUGCCAUCAAGAUGUAGGACAAGAUUCUGUGAUAGCCUGGGCUUCCGAGGCCCACAGCUCUUCAAUAUCCUCCCGAAGAACCUGAGAGACCUGCAUGGGGUGGAUGCAGAUGUCUUUAAAAUGAAGCUGGAUCUCUUCCUGUCAGGUGUCCCAGAUGAACCAACUUCACGGCAGGAGGGGCAGAUGAGGGCAGCUGCAUCGAACUCUCUCAUGCACCAAAUGGCAGUUGCUAGAAAGCUUUCGUGAAGUGAAACCAAGUAGCAACACCAAAUGGCGGUGCCCCAGCAUGGCCACAGCUCAUAAGCUGAAACUAGAAUCAAUCAAUCAAUCAAUCAAUCAAUCAAUCAUAUAUAUAUAUAUAUAUAUAUGUAUAAUUUAAUGUAAACAGUA
rnacentral:lncRNA from 1 species